rnacentral:rRNA from 1 species
UACGGAGGAUCCAAGCGUUAUCCGGAUUUAUUGGGUUUAAAGGGUGCGUAGGCGGCCCUGUAAGUCAGUGGUGAAAUAUCUCAGCUUAACUGAGAGGGUGCCAUUGAUACUGCAGGGCUUGAGUACAGAUGAAGUAGGCGGAAUUGACGGUGUAGCGGUGAAAUGCAUAGAUAUCGUCAAGAACACCGAUAGCGAAGGCAGCUUACUAAGCUGUAACUGACGCUGAGGCACGAAAGUGUGGGGAUCAAACAGG